rnacentral:rRNA from 1 species
UGCAGUCGAGCGAACAGACGAGGAGCUUGCUCCUUUGACGUUAGCGGCGGACGGGUGAGUAACACGUAGGUAACCUACCUAUAAGACUGGGAUAACUUCGGGAAACCGGAGCUAAUACCGGAUAAUAUUUCGAACCGCAUGGUUCGAUAGUGAAAGAUGGCUUUGCUAUCACUUAUAGAUGGACCUGCGCCGUAUUAGCUAGUUGGUAAGGUAACGGCUUACCAAGGCAACGAUACGUAGCCGACCUGAGAGGGUGAUCGGCCACACUGGAACUGAGACACGGUCCAGACUCCUACGGGAGGCAGCAGUAGGGAAUCUUCCGCAAUGGGCGAAAGCCUGACGGAGCAACGCCGCGUGAGUGAUGAAGGUCUUCGGAUCGUAAAACUCUGUUAUUAGGGAAGAACAAACGUGUAAGUAACUGUGCACGUCUUGACGGUACCUAAUCAGAAAGCCACGGCUAACUACGUGCCAGCAGCCGCGGUAAUACGUAGGUGGCAAGCGUUAUCCGGAAUUAUUGGGCGUAAAGCGCGCGUAGGCGGUUUUUUAAGUCUGAUGUGAAAGCCCACGGCUCAACCGUGGAGGGUCAUUGGAAACUGGAAAACUUGAGUGCAGAAGAGGAAAGUGGAAUUCCAUGUGUAGCGGUGAAAUGCGCAGAGAUAUGGAGGAACACCAGUGGCGAAGGCGACUUUCUGGUCUGUAACUGACGCUGAUGUGCGAAAGCGUGGGGAUCAAACAGGAUUAGAUACCCUGGUAGUCCACGCCGUAAACGAUGAGUGCUAAGUGUUAGGGGGUUUCCGCCCCUUAGUGCUGCAGCUAACGCAUUAAGCACUCCGCCUGGGGAGUACGACCGCAAGGUUGAAACUCAAAGGAAUUGCG